UACGGAGGGUGCGAGCGUUGUCCGGAAUCACUGGGUUUAAAGGGUGCGUAGGUGGGCAAGUAAGUCAGUGGUGAAAUCUCCGGGCUUAACCCGGAAACUGCCAUUGAUACUAUUUGUCUUGAAUACUGUGGAGGUCAGCGGAAUAUGUCAUGUAGCGGUGAAAUGCUUAGAUAUGACAUAGAACACCAAUUGCGAAGGCAGCUGGCUACACAAAUAUUGACACUGAGGCACGAAAGCGUGGGGAUCAAACAGG
rnacentral:rRNA from 1 species